rnacentral:rRNA from 1 species
ACGAACGCUGGCGGCACGCUUAACACAUGCAAGUCGAACGAGAGAAGAGGAGCUUGCUUUUCUGAUCUAGUGGCGGACGGGUGAGUAACACGUGAGCAAUCUGCCUUUCAGAGGGGGAUACCGAUUGGAAACGAUCGUUAAUACCGCAUAACAUAAUUGAACCGCAUGAUUUGAUUAUCAAAGAUUUAUCGCUGAAAGAUGAGCUCGCGUCUGAUUAGCUAGUUGGUAAGGUAACGGCUUACCAAGGCGACGAUCAGUAGCCGGACUGAGAGGUUGAUCGGCCACAUUGGGACUGAGACACGGCCCAGACUCCUACGGGAGGCAGCAGUGGGGAAUAUUGCACAAUGGAGGAAACUCUGAUGCAGCGAUGCCGCGUGAGGGAAGAAGGUUUUAGGAUUGUAAACCUCUGUCUUCAGGGACGAAAAAUGACGGUACCUGAGGAGGAAGCUCCGGCUAACUACGUGCCAGCAGCCGCGGUAAUACGUAGGGAGCGAGCGUUGUCCGGAAUUACUGGGUGUAAAGGGAGCGUAGGCGGGAUCGCAAGUCAGAUGUGAAAACUAUGGGCUUAACCCAUAAACUGCAUUUGAAACUGUGGUUCUUGAGUGAAGUAGAGGUAAGCGGAAUUCCUAGUGUAGCGGUGAAAUGCGUAGAUAUUAGGAGGAACAUCAGUGGCGAAGGCGGCUUACUGGGCUUUAACUGACGCUGAGGCUCGAAAGCGUGGGGAGCAAACAGGAUUAGAUACCCUGGUAGUCCACGCCGUAAACGAUGAUUACUAGGUGUGGGGGGACUGACCCCUUCCGUGCCGCAGCAAACGCAAUAAGUAAUCCACCUGGGGAGUACGACCGCAAGGUUGAAACUCAAAGGAAUUGACGGGGGCCCGCACAAGCAGUGGAGUAUGUGGAUUAAUUCGAAGCAACGCGAAGAACCUUACCAGGUCUUGACAUCCUUCUGACCACUCCGUAAUGGGAGUUUUCCUUCGGGACAGAAGAGACAGGUGGUGCAUGGUUGUCGUCAGCUCGUGUCGUGAGAUGUUGGGUUAAGUCCCGCAACGAGCGCAACCCUUACUGUUAGUUGCUACGCAAGAGCACUCUAGCAGGACUGCCGUUGACAAAACGGAGGAAGGUGGGGAUGACGUCAAAUCAUCAUGCCCCUUAUGACCUGGGCCUCACACGUACUACAAUGGCUGUCAACAGAGGGAAGCAAAGCCGCGAGGUGGAGCAAACCCCUAAAAGCAGUCUUAGUUCGGAUUGUAGGCUGCAACCCGCCUACAUGAAGUCGGAAUUGCUAGUAAUCGCAGAUCAGCAUGCUGCGGUGAAUACGUUCCCGGGCCUUGUACACACCGCCCGUCACGCCAUGGGAGUCGGUAACACCCGAAGCCUGUAGUCUAACCGCAAGGAGGACGCAGUCGAAGGUGGGAUUGAUGACUGGGGUG